AUAAGGCUCCGUUGGUCGAGAGGGAAACAGCCCAGAUCGCCGGUUAAGGCCCCUAAGGGUGUACUAAGUGGAAAAGGAUGUGGGAUCGCGAAGACAGCCAGGAGGUUGGCUUAGAAGCAGCCAUCCUUGAAAGAGUGCGUAAUAGCUCACUGGUCGAGUGGUUCUGCGCCGACAAUGUAGUGGGGCUCAAGUACACCGCCGAAGCCGCGGCAGUCAACUUUUUUGUUGGUUGGGGUAGGGGAGCGUCGUGCAUGUGGUGAAGCAUUUGGGGC
rnacentral:rRNA from 1 species